rnacentral:lncRNA from 1 species
UUUCAAUCCUUUGCCCACAAUCAUACAUGAAUUUAAUCAUGGCAAGACAUAAAACUUUUACCACUUCACGUGGUUAUAAUUCCUUACAAACUCCAUUAGAGUUAUAAUCAAACUUUGUUGUCUAUGUUUGUAUAUGAAAUCAAACCGUAGAAUUUCAAGAAUUUGAAAGGGAAAAGUAAAUUACUUACCUUUAAGGUAUACCAAUAAAUGUUGUGAUAUCAAAUAUACCUCUUGNNN